AGGCCCUUCUCAUAUAGGAUGGAUGCACGACAGCGGGUAAUAAUAAACUAGUUUAUAUUCAACAUUUUUUUCGUACUAACAUUUUUCUUCUCUUGUUCAAUUCAGGGUGAGAAUACCUAUAGGAUAUCUAUAUAUGCCUGGAGAAGGUUAAACAAGCUAAUUCGAAUUUUUUGCAAUAAAUAAUGAUCAACCUUUGAAGCAGGAUUGAUAUUAGUUAUCAAUCCUGGGAUGUGCAAAGCUUAAAAUAAAAGAACACGCAGAGAAUUAUUUUACGUGGUAAAACCCCUUCUCUGGGGAAAAUCCACGGGACUCCUCAGUCUAACUCAAAUCCACUAUAGAACAAUGAUUACAAGAAGUACUCACACACUUAUCCUAGACUCAUUCUAGAUAAUGUUUAUCGACUUCUUCGUAACUCAACUUCUGUCACAGGAUGAUCUUCGACACUCCUUAUGUUGAACGCAAUAAUAGCCACGAUUGCUUCAAGCUCGCCGGAGGAAAACCGCCACCACGGUCUUGGUGCACUCAACCGUAUGAGUCACCGACACGCAUAUGAAUGCAAUAUGAAUGAUUAAAGUGUUUGAUAAAUCAUCAAGUAAACAUGGAACACUUGAUGAUUUAUCUCAAAUAUGUGCACAACAGCUUUUGCUUAAGAAUUCUAUAUGCUCAACCCAAUAUCAGAAACUGUCAAAAACCAAAGAGAUGCAAGCUGCUUUUAUUCAAAGCUUCCUAUACCCAGUCAGAUGGCCGCACACGAGUACCAAACCCACUUCAAUUAUAACUAUGAACUUUUAGCUUAAUUUGGACUCUUAUGAAGACCACAAUUGGUUUUCCAACAUGAAUAUUAGUUCAAUAUGGAUUCUUAUUGAAAAACGCCAACCAAUCAAUUUUUAAUAGAAAAACAAUAUCUAUUAAAACAAAAAACUCAAACUAGGAAUCCUAUAAUGAAUGCAUGAUUAUGUCAUGAUUUACCUGAAAUUAAGUUUCUCAUAUCGGUCAAGUCAAGCCUCGGAUGUAUGGGGUUGAAUGAGUUGUGCCAAAACGUCCAGUAACAAUUCUUCACACACUAAUUUUUAACCUAUGCUAGAGUCUAGGAAAUGACAACACUAUUUUCAUACUAACAAUCUCCCCCUUUGGCAUUUUCUAGACAAAACACCUAUUACAACUCAAAAGAAAUUGCAUGGGAUUAAACAAAUGAAAUCCUACUCUAAAUUAGAAGCUCUGAAUCCCUGCACAUUAGGAAACAACAAAAUCAGUGAAGCAUGUGGGAGAAGAAAUGUAAUCCAAAGCAAAAUUACAACACAACUCCCCCUUAAUUCCACAACACAAUUUCUCCCCCUUUUUAUCAUAAUUUCACACGGUCAUCUCUCUCCUUUUUUGUCAGGAAAUCCAAAGGGUAAGGAAAGAACAUAAAAGAGCUAAUAUAAAGGUAUAAAGAAAUCACCAAAUGAAUGCACAAGAAAUAGCAAGAUGUCCAAAGCCAAAAAAGAAAGGGAUAACAGUAGCAUGCAUUAAGAUAUGAGAAAAAAAUUAUCACAAAAAAAAAAAAAAACCAAACAUAUGAGGGAUGAACACUGUGUUUGAAAAACAAAAGAAGUUUCGAAUUUUUCUUUUUGUUUUUUUUGUUUUUGUUUUUUUAAUAAAGAAAAGAUAAAGCUACAAACAAAUCUAAACAAUUAAAAAAAACGUAAACAGCACCUAGAAAAGAUAACAACACCACAAAGACAUAGAAUCACCAAAUACUAUGCUUAAUGAGAACCCAAGACUCCUCCUUCAUUCAAGCCCAAAAAAAAAUCUGGAGUACAUGCCAACACCAUGCAUAAGGAUAGACAAGCAAGACCAAUACCAACAUCUCUCUAGAAGCAUUUGAAGCAAAGUCUUUCAGGAUCUAGGGCACAUCAAAUCACAAAGGUUUAAUCAAACACAAGGAUUAUAAAAUGAAGAAUCAAAAAUAUUUGUAAGAAAUAAAGUCCAUCAAAUGAGUAAAUAUUAAAUCCCAAUCUCGUGUUAUGUGACUAAACUUGCUUAAUAAUAAAGAAAAAAUCCAACCAAAAGCAAGCCAAGAACAUAGAAUAAACACAUACAAAAUGCAUACAUAGGGCACCAAUUUUUUUUUUUUUUUUUCAAUGCUAACUUUAUUAAGCUUUCUACAAGACCCAUGUAACGGAUGUUAAAUCAAUGUGCUCAAGUCAGUUGACUUUAAGACAAUGAGUGUUAAAGCACCCCUAGGAUGUACUAACCCGAGUCAUGUAGGCUACAAAGAAGAACAAUGUGUACAAGAUCAAAGUUUUUUGACGCGAACCUCGACGUUGGUUAGACAAGAGGCCCGGUUACUUUGCCAAGAUCAAGCACUUAUUGUACUUUACUUUUAAAUGAAGAGAUACUAUAAAUUUGAGAGCUCAGUAGCAAAAAGUAUAAUGCAAAUCUAGUAUCAAGACAAGGGCAAGGAGAGGAUCCAUUCAAAAUUAUUAAGCAAGAUUUGAGUGUAUGUGCUAUAUGUGAGGCAUGUGAUUUAAUAAAAAGAGCAUUUAAUUGACUUUAUAAAAAAACAAAAACAGUUGAUAACCAUUCACAAAAACCCAACAUUAAUCUG
rnacentral:lncRNA from 1 species